rnacentral:rRNA from 1 species
UACGAAGGGUGCAAGCGUUAAUCGGAAUUACUGGGCGUAAAGCGUGCGUAGGCGGUUUCUUAAGUCCGUUGUGAAAGCCCUGGGCUCAACCUGGGAACUGCGAUGGAUACUGAGGGGCUGGAGUACGGUAGAGGAAGGUGGAAUUCCCGGUGUAGCGGUGAAAUGCGUAGAGAUCGGGAGGAACACCUGUGGCGAAGGCGGCCCCCUGGUUGGAUACUGACGCUGAUACGCGAAAGCGUGGGGAGCAAACAGG